AGUGGGGAAUAUUGCACAAUGGGGGAAACCCUGAUGCAGCCAUGCCGCGUGUGUGAAGAAGGCCCUAGGGUUGUAAAGCACUUUCAGUCGUGAGGAAAGGGUGUAAGUUAAUACCUUGCAUCUGUGACGUUAGCGACAGAAGAAGCACCGGCUAACUCCGUGCCAGCAGCCGCGGUAAUACGGAGGGUGCGAGCGUUAAUCGGAAUUACUGGGCGUAAAGCGUGCGUAGGCGGAUUGUUAAGCGAGAUGUGAAAUCCCGGGGCUCAACCUCGGAACUGCAUUUCGAACUGGCUAUCUAGAGUACUGUAGAGGGUGGUGGAAUUUCCAGUGUAGCGGUGAAAUGCGUAGAGAUUGGAAGGAACAUCAGUGGCGAAGGCGGCCACCUGGACAGAUACUGACGCUGAGGCACGAAAGCGUGGGGAGCAAA
rnacentral:rRNA from 1 species